rnacentral:rRNA from 1 species
GAGCGGAUGACGGGAGCUUGCUCCUUGAUUCAGCGGCGGACAGGUGAGUAAUGCCUAGGAAUCUGCCUGGUAGUGGGGGACAACGUUUCGAAAGGAACGCUAAUACCGCAUACGUCCUACGGGAGAAAGCAGGGGACCUUUGGGCCUUGCGCUAUCAGAUGAGCCUAGGUCGGAUUAGCUAGUUGGUGGGGUAAUAGCUCACCAAGGCGACGAUCCGUAACUGGUCUGAGAGGAUGAUCAGUCACACUGGAACUGAGACACGGUCCAGACUCCUACGGGAGGCAGCAGUGGGGAAUAUUGGACAAUGGGCGAAAGCCUGAUCCAGCCAUGCCGCGUGUGUGAAGAAGGUCUUCGGAUUGUAAAGCACUUUAAGUUGGGAGGAAGGGCAGUAAGUUAAUACCUUGCUGUUUUGACGUUACCGACAGAAUAAGCACCGGCUAACUCUGUG